UACGUAGGGCGCAAGCGUUGUCCGGAAUUACUGGGCGUAAAGCGUGCGUAGGCGGUUUGUUAAGUCCGUUGUGAAAGCCCUGGGCUCAACCUGGGAAUUGCAGUGGAUACUGGCGAGCUAGAGUGCGGUAGAGGAUGGUGGAAUUCCCGGUGUAGCGGUGAAAUGCGUAGAGAUCGGGAGGAACACCCGUGGCGAAGGCGGCCAUCUGGACGACGACUGACGCUGAGACGCGAAAGCGUGGGGAGCGAACAGG
rnacentral:rRNA from 1 species